UACAGAGGGGGCAAGCGUUGUUCGGAAUUACUGGGCGUAAAGGGCGCGUAGGCGGCCUGCUAAGUCGAACGUGAAAUCCCUGGGCUCAACCCAGGAACUGCGUCCGAUACUGGUUGGCUUGAAUCCGGGAGAGGGAUGUGGAAUUCCAGGUGUAGCGGUGAAAUGCGUAGAUAUCUGGAGGAACACCGGUGGCGAAGGCGACAUCCUGGACCGGUAUUGACGCUGAGGUGCGAAAGCGUGGGGAGCAAACAGG
rnacentral:rRNA from 1 species